rnacentral:rRNA from 1 species
UACGUAGGGGGCAAGCGUUGUCCGGAAUCAUUGGGCGUAAAGAGCGUGUAGGCGGUUCCGUUAAGUCGGCUGUGAAAGUCCAAGGCUCAACCUUGGGAUGCCGGUCGAUACUGCCGGACUAGAGUUCGGAAGAGGCGAGUGAAAUUCCCGGUGUAGCGGUGAAAUGCGCAGAUAUCGGGAGGAACACCUAUGGCGAAGGCAGCUCGCUGGGACGUUACUGACGCUGAGACGCGAAAGCGUGGGGAGCAAACAGG